GUCCACGGCCAUGCUAUCCUGAACAAACUCAAUCCCAUCUGAUCUCGGAAGCUAAGCAAGGUCAGUCCUGGUUAGUACUUGGAUGGGAGACCAACUAGGAAGACCAGGUGCUAUAGGCG
rfam:Pteropus alecto contig80190, whole genome shotgun sequence.